AUAGAGACUCAGAGCUGCAUAUCAAUAAGCGGAGGAAAAGAAACUAACAAGGAUUCCCUUAGUAACGGCGAGUGAAGCGGGAAGAGCUCAAAUUUGAAAUCUUCAAGGUUCUACCUUGACGAAUUGUAGUUUAUAGAAGUGUUUUCUGUUAGUAGAGUGGCAAAAGUUCUUUGGAAUAGGACAUCAUAGAGGGUGAGAAUCCCGUAUUUGGUCAUUCUUUCUAGCUUUGUGAUACACUUUCAACGAGUCGGAUUGUUUGGGAAUGCAGUCCAAAAUGGGUGGUAAAUUUCAUCUAAAGCUAAAUAUUGGCGAGAGACCGAUAGCGAACAAGUACCGUGAGGGAAAGACUGAAAAGAACUUUGAAAAGAGAGUUAAACAGUACGUGAAAUUGUCAAAAGGGAAGCGUUUGACACCAGUGUUGUUUUUCCGAAAAUCAAUUACGAAUGUUUUGUUUUUGAGAAGUUAUGACUUCAUCGGCUUGCUUCUCUCUUUACGAAACUUUCUUAAUGCACUUUUCGGUUAACAAGUCAACAUCAAUUUCUUUUGUUGUAAAAGGGUAUGAGGAAGGUGGCUUUCUUUUCGGAGAAAGUGUUUAUAGCCUUGUGCCUCUGCAAUCGGAGAGAUUGAGGUCUGCAGCGUAGAUCCUUCGGGGUUAGAUACGUUUGUGCUAAGUUAUAGCUUUUCAUAGACAACUUGUUGACUAUGUUUAGUCUUGUAGCUUACUCGCUGAUGCUAUUUUACCUACGCUUAGGAUGUUGACGAGACUGUCGAUCUC
rnacentral:rRNA from 1 species